rnacentral:rRNA from 1 species
AAGUCUGACCUGCCCACUGAAUAAAAUUAAAUGGCCGCAGUAUUUUAACUGUGCAAAGGUAGCAUAAUCAUUAGUCUUUUAAUUGAAGGCUGGUAUGAACGGUUGGACGAGGUAUAAGCUGUUUCAUAUGAAUUUAUAAUAGAAUUUUAUAUUUUAGUUAAAAAGCUAAAAUUUAAUUAAAAGACGAGAAGACCCUAUAAAUCUUUAUACUUUAAAUUAUUUAAGUUUUGUGGAUUAAUUUUAUUUUUAUAGUUUGAAGUAUUUUGUUGGGGUGAUGUUAAAAUUUAAUGAACUUUUAAUUAUUUAGAAUCAUUAAUUUAUGAGCUAUUGAUCCAUUAGUAGUGAUUAUAAGUUUAAGUUACUUUAGGGAUAACAGCGUAAUUUUUUUGGAGAGUUCUUAUCGAUAAAAAAGUUUGCGACCUCGAUGUUGGAUUAAGAUGUAUUUUUAGGUGUAGGCGCUUAAAC